rnacentral:lncRNA from 1 species
ACAAUGUCCUUUGUAUGCAAAUGACAUUUCUACUUAAUGUACCAAAUUGGUUAUCUAAUUUUUAUAAUAUGGUUUAAACAGAUCCUUUCUAAGAUGACAUUAUGUAACCUUUACUUAACGAAGGAACAAUAUGUGUCUAGGUUAUUGCUUAUAAAAAAGGGAGGCUUUGUAACUAAGUCAAAUUAUAUAGCAGAAUCCCAAGUGACCAUCAUGUCACUUUUAAAAUUUGAAUGGAGUGAAACAGAAGGUUCAGUCAUGAGAAGACACCUUGAAAGCUACUGAAGUAUCCAGUGCAGGGCUAUAAAGUCUUAUUUCAUCAU